rnacentral:rRNA from 1 species
AAUCAACGCUGGCGGCGUGCCUCAGACAUGCAAGUCGAACGCGAAAGUUUCCUUCGGGAGAUGAGUAGAGUGGCGCACGGGUGAGUAACACGUGAGUAAUUUACCUUCGGGUGGGGAAGUACUAACCGGAAACGGUUGUUAAUACCGCAUAAUGCAGCGGCAUCAAUGAUGACAGUUGUUAAAGCGGGGGAGUUGGAGCAAUCCGACCUCGCGCCUGAAGAGAAGCUCGCGGCAGAUUAGCUAGUUGGUAAGGUAAUGGCUUACCAAGGCGACGAUCUGUAACCGGCCUGAGAGGGCGGUCGGUCACACUGACACUGAAUAACGGGUCAGACUCCUACGGGAGGCAGCAGUCGGGAAUUUUGGGC